CGGUGGAGCAUGUGGUUUAAUUCGACGCAACGCGAAAAACCUUACCUGGGUUUGACAUGUCGGUGGUAGGAAACCGAAAGGGCCCCCGGCCAACAGGUGUGACGAGCGCAACCCUCGCCCCUAGUUGCCAACGGGAUGUCAAGUAUCAUGGCCUUUAUGUCCAGGCUACAUACAUGGCCGGUACAAGGGUCGCAAACGCGCGAGCGGAAGCUUCCCAAAAAGCCGGUCCCAGUUGGGAUCGCAGUGCAACUCGACUGCGUGAACGCGGAAUCGCUAGUAAUCGGAAUCAGCAGGUCGCGGUGAAUACGUUCCCGGGUCCUGUACACACCGCCGUCACACCACGAAAGCCGAUUGUACUUGAAGUCGCUGGGCUAACCCGCAAGGGAGGCAAGCGCCGAAGUAUGGUCGGUGAUUGGGGUGAAGUCGUACAAGGU
rnacentral:rRNA from 1 species